UUACAGUGCAUUCUAACUUUAAUCAGUUUCUUUGUCAGGAGCUCUUAUGGUCUGCACUCAAAGCUGGUGAUAUUGAUAUGGUUGUGUCAGGUCAUUCAUCAUGCACACCUGACCUGAAGUGUUUAGGCAGUGGUGAUUUCACACAGGCUUGGGGAGGGAUCUCUUCUCUGCAGUUCGGUGAACGAAGACAAAAUACAUCACAAUAACAAGUUAACUUCACACCUUGGCCUUGCUCUGCGAGGGAAGGUGAAGGCCACUAUAGUCCGAGGGAAGGUGGUUUACAGUCAUGGCUCUUUCAGUUCUCAGGCUCUGGGGAAGCAUCUCUGUAUCCAGCACAAGACACCAGCCC